rnacentral:rRNA from 1 species
AAGUCGAGGGGCAGCGCGGGGCGGCAACGUCCUGGCGGCGACCGGCGGAAGGGUGCGUAACGCGUGAGCGACAUGCCCGUUGCCCGGGGACAACCGGUGGAAACGCCGACUAAUCCCCGAUGGGACGGAGGCCCUCAUGGGUCUCUGUUGAAAGUUACGGCGGCGACGGAUUGGCUCGCGUCCGAUUAGCUUGUUGGCGGGGUAACGGCCCACCAAGGCUACGAUCGGUAGGGGUUCUGAGAGGAAGGUCCCCCACAAUGGAACUGAGACACGGUCCAUACUCCUACGGGAGGCAGCAGUGAGGAAUAUUGGUCAAUGGGCGGAAGCCUGAACCAGCCAUGCCGCGUGCGGGAAGGAGGCCCUAUGGGCUGUGAACCGCUUUUGCCUGGGGGCAAUAAGGGCGUCGUGCACGUCCGAUGAGAGUACCAGGCGAAUAAGCAUCGGCUAACUCCGUGCCAGCAGCCGCGGUAAUACGGGGGAUGCGAGCGUUAUCCGGAUUCAUUGGGUUUAAAGGGUGCGUAGGCUGUGCGUCAAGUCAGGGGUGAAAUUCCGGGGCUCAACUCCGGGGCUGCCCUUGAUACUGUCGCGCUGGAGUGCGGAUGCCGCCGGAGGAAUGAGUGGUGUAGCGGUGAAAUGCUUAGAUAUCACUCAGAACACCGAUUGCGAAGGCAUCUGGCGAAUCCGUAACUGACGCUGAGGCACGAAAGCGUGGGGAUGGAACAGGAUUAGAUACCCUGGUAUUCCACGCCGUAAACGAUGAUGGCUAACCGCCGGCGACACACUGUCGGUGGCCAAGCGAAAGCGAUAAGCCAUCCACCUGGGGAGUACGUCGGCAACGAUGCAACUCAAAGGAAUUGACGG